CCUCAGAUUUGCGGUUUUGCAACCACUGUUCCGUUUAGGCCCUAUUUCGAGAUGUUACAUUUCUCCCCCUUUAGGGAUUUUUGUCCCCGAAAAUCUUACCUGUGAAAAGAUUUGGGUACUGUUUUCGCAUAGCCUCUUUGGGUUCCCAUGUAGCCUCGUCUACCCCAUGUCUAUUCCAUAUUACUUUCACAAGUGCAAUACUUUUGUUCCUUAAUUGCUUUAUCUACUAAUACAUGCUUGCCUAAUGGAUUCGAUACUUUAAUCACUAAUUCUGUAGAUUCUAUAGGCAUACUUGUACUAGACAUCAAUUUCUUGCAAAC
rnacentral:lncRNA from 1 species